AUUGAACGCUGGCGGCAGGCCUAACACAUGCAAGUCGAGCGAGCGGCGGACGGGUGAGUAAUGUAUGGGGACUGCCCGAUAGAGGGGGAUAACUCCUGGAAACGGUAGCUAAUACCGCAUACUAUCGGAUAACCCAUAUGGGAUUAGCUCGUAGGUGAGGUAAUGGGUCACCUAGGCGACGAUCCCUAGCUGGUCUGCGAGGAUGAUCAGCCACACCGGGACUGAGACACGGCCCAGACUCCGACGGAGGCAGCAGGGGGGAAGAUGGGCCAAUGGGCGCAAGCCUUAUGCAGCCAUGCCGCGUGUAUGAAGAAGGCCCUAGGGUUGUAAAGGACUUUCAGUCGGGAGGCGUUACCGACAGAAGAAGCACCGGCUAACUCCGUGCCAGCAGCCGCGGUAAUUC
rnacentral:rRNA from 1 species